UCUCCGUUGGUGAACCAGCGGAGGGAUCAUUACCGAGUUUACAACUCCCAAACCCCAUGUGAACCAUACCACACGUUGCUUCGGCGGUACCGCCCCGGCGCCCUCGGGCCCGGACCAAGGCGCCCGCCGGGGGACCAACCAAACCCUUUUAGUAUCCCGGGCGACCCCCGGCGGCAUUAUCUGAGUACAGCGAAAACAAAACGCAUCAAAACUUUCAACAACGGAUCUCUUGGUUCUG
rnacentral:misc_RNA from 1 species